AAUGUUUUAUAUAAAUUGCAGUAUGUGUCGCCCAAAAUAGCAAACCCCAUAACCAACCAGAUUAUUAUAUGAUACAUAAUGCUUAUAUGAAACUAAGACAUUUCGCAACAUUUAUUUUAGGUAUAUAAAUACAUUUAUUGAAGGAAUUGAUAUAUGCCAGUAAAAUGGUGUAUUUUUAAUUUCUUUCAAUAAAAACAUAAUUGACAUUAUAUAAAAAUGAAUUAUAAAACUCUAAGCGGUGGAUCACUCGGCUCAUGGGUCGAUGAAGAACGCAGCAAACUGUGCGUCAUCGUGUGAACUGCAGGACACAUGAACAUCGACAUUUUGAACGCAUAUCGCAGUCCAUGCUGUUAUGUACUUUAAUUAAUUUUAUAGUGCUGCUUGGACUACAUAUGGUUGAGGGUUGUAAGACUAUGCUAAUUAAGUUGCUUAUAAAUUUUUAUAAGCAUAUGGUAUAUUAUUGGAUAAAUAUAAUAAUUUUUAUUCAUAAUAUUAAAAAAUAAAUGAAAAACAUUAUCUCACAU
rnacentral:rRNA from 1 species